GUUAGCUUUCAAGCACUGAAUUCGGUGUUUGUAGAAGCUCAUUCACAAGGGUGAGCUGUUUUGCCUGAUUUUCUGUACUAGGAUCUACUUUCUAACAUCUUACUGACUCCAAGUCCCUUCAGUUGAAAUGAAUAUAUGACUGGGAAAUGCUUUUCUGGUUGGUUAUAGCCAUAACCUAUUAUAUGAAUGGGUGCAACUGUUUUUUAUAUCUCACAUGUGAUUCAAAAAAUGCUAUUCGUUUGAUAAAACUUUAUGAAUCAUCCCAUUGCAUCAUGUGAAUGUCCAAUCAGAUGGCAAUAUA
rnacentral:misc_RNA from 1 species